AUGAACUUGCCUAUUGCCUGGAGGAAAGGAACCCGAGUUGGAGCUGGAAAACCUCCAGAGAGGUAUGGUUUUGAGCAUGACAUAGCUAAUUACGUAUCAUAUACAUCUCUGUCUCCGAGAUACAAAGCAUUCAUUGCAUCAUUGCAAUCUGUGGUGACUCCAAGAGAUUGGAAAAUGGCAAAGCAGGAUCCAAAGUGGUACGAGGCAAUGUUGGAGGAAAUGAGAGCACUUGAAAAGAACAAGACAUGGGAUAUUGUACCUCUUCCAGCAGGAAAACGACCGGUUAGCUGUAAAUGGGUGUAUACUGUGAAGCAGACUCCUGAAGGAAGGGUAGAAAGAUACAAGGCAAGGUUAGUGGCUAGGGGCUAUAGUCAGACAUACGGGAUUGAUUAUGAUGAGACUUUUGCACCUGUCGCAAAGAUGGGCACAGUGAGAACCUUAAUUUCUUGUGCCACUAACUUUGGUUGGGCUUUGAAUCAGUUAUGUAAAGAAUGCAUUCCUGCAUGGUGA
rnacentral:rRNA from 1 species